rnacentral:rRNA from 1 species
GGAAGCUUAUAAGGCGCGCGGCGGAUGCCUUGGAGCCGGAUGGCGAUGAAGGACGCGACAACCUGCGAUAAGCCCGGGGGAGCUGGACGUAAGCCUAGAUCCCGGGAUUUCCGAAUGGGGAAACCCAGCCAGCUACAAGCUGGCUACCCAUGGCCCAACACAUAAGCCAUGGGAGGCAACCCAGGGAACCGAAACAUCGAAGUACCUGGAGGAAAAGAAAGAGAGAUCGAUUCCGUUAGUAGUGGCGAGCGAAAGCGGAGGAGCCCAAGUCUGCAACAUGUAAGGAGCGCCUAGGGGAAUCCACUGGAAUGUGGAGCCAUAGGGGGUGAAAGCCCCGUACCCGAAGGGCAAACCAAACUAGCAGGAAAGAGUAAGUCGGGACACGUGAAAUCCUGACCGAAGAUGCGGGGACCGCCCCGUAAGGCUAAAUACGGUCCGGCUACCGAUAGCGAACAAGUACCGUGAGGGAAAGGUGAAAAGCACCCCGGGAGGGGAGUGAAAGAGAUCCUGAAACCGCGCGCUGACGAGAUGGCGGAGGGCGUUAAAGCCUGACGCCGUGCCUAUUGAAGAAUGAGCCUGCGAGUCAGUGCACACGCGCGAGGAUAAGGGGAAGACCCGGAUCCGCAGCGAAAGCGAGCCCGAAUAGGGCGCACAGUGCGUGUGUCUGCACCCGAAACCCGGCGAUCUAGCCAUGUCCAGGAUGAAGCAGGGGUGAAACCCUGUGGAGGUCCGCACCGACGUUCGUUGAAACGCCCGCGGAUGAGAUGUGGCUCGUGGUGAAAUUCCAAUCGAGCCGGGUAAUAGCUGGUUCUCCCCGAAACAUCUUUAGGGAUGGCCUCAUGUGUUUGGCCCCGGAGGUAGAGCGACUGGAUGGGAAGGGCCCGAGCGAUCGGGUUCCGGCCCGACCAAACUCCGAAUGCCGGGAGCCCUAAGCAUGGGAGCCAGACGGUGGGAGACAAGUUCCAUCGUCAAGAGGGCAACAGCCCAGACCGCCGGAUAAGGCCCCUAAAUCCACGCUAAGUGUGUAAGGAUGUGGAAACGCUAAGACAGCCAGGAUGUUGGCUUAGAGGCAGCCAUCAUUCAAAGAAUGCGUAACAGCUCACUGGUCAAGCGUUUCUGCGCCGAAAAUUUACCGGGGCUAAGCGUGGUGCCGAAUCCGCGGAUUCGACCAUCAGGUCGAGUGGUAGGGGAGCGUCGUCGCUGGGGCGAAGGAUGACCGUGAGGACAUCUGGACCGUCGACGAGUGAGAAUGCAGGCGUAAGUAGCGAUGAGGGGUGAGAAUCCCCUCCGCCGAAUGACUAAGGUCUCCCGGGCAAGGUUCGUCCACCCGGGGUCAGCCGGGGGCUAAGGUGAGGCCGAAAGGCGUAGCCGAUGCACAAUGGGUUAAGACUCCCAUGCCCCGACGUGAAUUGGCUGAGCAGUGACGGAUCCGGAAGGUCGUACCAGCUGUCGGAAUAGCUGGGCUGCCUUGGAGAUUGGGGCGGGUAAUUCCCGCUUGUAAUGUCUCCAAGGUGGGUAGGAAACCAGGGAUGGGAGUACGAAAUCGGCCGGAAGGGUCCCGGGAAAAGCUGCCCAGUGCCGCACGUCGGGCCCGUACCGAGAACGAACACACGUGGUCAGGUCGAGUAGACCGAGGCGAGCGAGAUAACUGUUGUUAAGGAACUCUGCAAAAUUGCUCCGCAAGUUAGCGAGAAGGAGCGCUCUCCUCCGGGAGAGCCGCAGUGAAGAGGCCCAGGUAACUGUUUACCAAAAACACAGCUCUAUGCGAAGGCGCAAGCCGAUGUAUAUGGGGUGAAGCCUGCCCGGUGCCGGAAGAUUAAGGGGAGGGGUUAGGAACAAUCCGAAGCCCUGAGCCGAAGUCCCGGUGAACGGCGGCCGUAACUAUAACGGUCCUAAGGUAGCGAAAUUCCUUGUC